rnacentral:rRNA from 1 species
UACGUAGGGUGCAGGCGUUAAUCGGAAUUACUGGGCGUAAAGCGUGCGCAGGCGGUUUGCUAAGAGAGAUGUGAAAUCCCCGGGCUUAACCUGGGAACUGCGUUUCUAACUGGCAGGCUUGAGUGUGGCAGAGGGGGGUGGAAUUCCACGUGUAGCAGUGAAAUGCGUAGAGAUGUGGAGGAACACCGAUGGCGAAGGCAGCCCCCUGGGCUAACGCUGACGCCUCAUGCACGAAAGCGUGGGGAGCAAACAGG